GCAAAGCCUGGUGCCAUCUGCCUUCAAUACACGGCAGACUCUUCCUGAUAGCACUGCUGCAUAGCAUCCUGCAGCUGACAACCAAUCUGAGUACCAAGAGUGGAAAAAGAGGUGGCCUGGGACUGCAGCACUGAAGAUCGGCAAUACUCUAUGAGCUCUUCUGCCAACAACAGCCCUGGUUUCUCAGUGCUGCUGCUCCUGGGGAGACACACAAGCUGUUAGCCUGACUUUGGCAACCCAGUGGCUGGAGCAAAGUGCAGUGUUUCUUGGGCUGCAGCCACAUCAUGGUCUGAUUGUGGGUAGUGAUAUCCCUCUGCAGAGGCAAGGCUGCUCAUAUCAGAGGCACUGAGAUCUGUCAGGGAGGUGCUGAGCCAGCAUGGGCACCAGCUGUCUUCUCUGGUGAGAACAGUGUCCAGAGGUACACACAGAAUGCUGAGGCAGAGAAAAACAGCACAGCAAGGAGGAAGGAUGCUGUCAAAUUGCCGCAGUUCUUGCUUCCAUGAGGCCAGUUGCUCUGAGCCAGAGUCUGGAUUCAUGACCCAAAGGAUGCAUGAGGAUCCCUAUUCAGAAAAUGCAAAGCAAUGUCUGAAUAGGAGACGAAUAGCAGAUAAGGCCUAAACCUUGCACUUCUGUGUGAAUAAUACUGAACUUCGCCAGCGGCAUGGCAGAGCCAUAUGCAUGGCAGCAACCUAAGGGAGAAAAAGGAAAGGAUAGACUUCUACUGAGAAGCAUCUGAAAGGAUUUCAUCACCAGAUACACUAUUGCUUUCUUCAUGCUUCAUUUCUUCACCAUGAAGAAAAAGGAAAAGAAAAGCACUGAGAGGCUUGGGGCUGAAAAUUCUUUCUGAUUCCUAAGAUAGCUUUCCUGUACAAAAAUUU
rnacentral:lncRNA from 1 species